rnacentral:rRNA from 1 species
UACGUAGGGUGCAAGCGUUGUCCGGAAUUAUUGGGCGUAAAGCGUCCGCAGGUGGCACUUCAAGUCUGUCGUCAAAGACUGGGGCUUAACCCUGGAAAGGCGGUGGAAACUGAAGCGCUAGAGUGUGGUAGGGGUAGAGGGAAUUCCCGGUGUAGCGGUGAAAUGCGUAGAGAUCGGGAAGAACAUCGGUGGCGAAGGCGCUCUACUGGACCACAACUGACACUCAGGGGACGAAAGCUAGGGGAGCGAAUGGG